rnacentral:rRNA from 1 species
ACUGAACGCUGGCGGCAGGCUUAACACAUGCAAGUCGAGCGGGGAAAUAUAGCUUGCUAUAUGACCUAGCGGCGGACGGGUGAGUAAUGCUUAGGAAUCUGCCUAUUAGUGGGGGACAACAUUUCGAAAGGGAUGCUAAUACCGCAUACGCCCUACGGGGGAAAGCAGGGGAUCUUCGGACCUUGCGCUAAUAGAUGAGCCUAAGUCGGAUUAGCUAGUUGGUGGGGUAAAGGCCUACCAAGGCGACGAUCUGUAGCGGGUCUGAGAGGAUGAUCCGCCACACUGGGACGGAGACACGGCCUAGACUCCUACGGGAGGAAGCAGGGGGGAAUAUUGGACAAUGGGGGGAACCCUGAUCCAGCCAUGCCGCGUGUGUGAAGAAGGCCUUUUGGUUGUAAAGCACUUUAAGCGAGGAGGAGGCUACCUGGAUUAAUACUCUAGGAUAGUGGACGUUACUCGCAGAAUAAGCACCGGCUAACUCUGUGCCAGCCGCCGCGGUAA